AGCGAACGCUAGCGGCGGGCUUAACACAUGCAAGUCGAGCGCGUGGCUUCGGCCACGAGCGGCGAACGGGUGAGUAACACGUAGGUCAUCUGCCCUUUGGUGGGGAAUAACCCGAGGAAACUCGGGCUAAUACCGCAUACUGCCUUCGGGUCAAAGGCUUCGGCCGCCAGAGGAUGAGCCUGCGUCGCAUUACCUAGUUGGUGGGGUAAUGGCCCACCAAGGGGACGAUGCGUAGCUGGUCUGAGAGGAUGAUCAGCCACACUGGGACUGAGACACGGCCCAGACUCCUACGGGAGGCAGCAGUGGGGAAUAUUGCGCAAUGGGGGAAACCCUGACGCAGCCACGCCGCGUGGGUGAUGAAGGCCUUCGGUUGUAAG
rnacentral:rRNA from 1 species